rnacentral:rRNA from 1 species
AGAGUUUGAUCCUGGCUCAGAUUGAACGCUGGCGGCAGGCCUAACACAUGCAAGUCGAGCGGAUGAAAGGAGCUUGCUCCUGGAUUCAGCGGCGGACGGGUGAGUAAUGCCUAGGAAUCUGCCUGGUAGUGGGGGACAACGUUUCGAAAGGAACGCUAAUACCGCAUACGUCCUACGGGAGAAAGCAGGGGACCUUCGGGCCUUGCGCUAUCAGAUGAGCCUAGGUCGGAUUAGCUAGUUGGUGAGGUAAUGGCUCACCAAGGCGACGAUCCGUAACUGGUCUGAGAGGAUGAUCAGUCACACUGGAACUGAGACACGGUCCAGACUCCUACGGGAGGCAGCAGUGGGGAAUAUUGGACAAUGGGCGAAAGCCUGAUCCAGCCAUGCCGCGUGUGUGAAGAAGGUCUUCGGAUUGUAAAGCACUUUAAGUUGGGAGGAAGGGUUGUAGAUUAAUACUCUGCAAUUUUGACGUUACCGACAGAAUAAGCACCGGCUAACUCUGUGCCAGCAGCCGCGGUAAUACAGAGGGUGCAAGCGUUAAUGGGAAUUAC